rnacentral:rRNA from 1 species
GGUUAAGUGAAUAAGGGCGCACGGUGGAUGCCUUGGCACUAGGAGCCGAUGAAGGACGGGACUAACACCGAUAUGCUUCGGGGAGCUGUAAGUAAGCUUUGAUCCGGAGAUUUCCGAAUGGGGAAACCCAGCAUCUUUUAUAGGAUGUUACUUUUCAGUGAAUACAUAGCUGAUUAGAGGUAGACGCAGAGAACUGAAACAUCUAAGUACCUGCAGGAAGAGAAAGAAAAUUCGAUUCCCUGAGUAGCGGCGAGCGAAACGGGAAAAGCCCAAACCAAGAGGCUUGCCUCUUGGGGUUGUAGGACUCCGAUAUGGUAGUCCAGUGAGAUAGUCGAAGGACCUGGAAAGGUCUGCUAGAAAGGGUAAAAGCCCCGUAGACAAAAUUUGACUGGCACCUAGGAGGAUCCUGAGUACGGCGGAACACGAGGAAUUCCGUCGGAAUCCGGGAGGACCAUCUCCCAAGGCUAAAUACUCCCUAGUGACCGAUAGUGAACCAGUACCGUGAGGGAAAGGUGAAAAGCACCCCGGAAGGGGAGUGAAAUAGAUCCUGAAACCGUGUGCCUACAACAAGUUAGAGCCCGUUAAUGGGUGAUAGCGUGCCUUUUGUAGAAUGAACCGGCGAGUUACGAUUACUUGCGAGGUUAAGUUG